AAUCUUAUCCAUUGUGUCUCCCAUUAGAUUAAGGGAGUAAUUAUAUAUAUUAAUUAGUUGAUAACUAAAAAUAAACAAUAGAGAAAUACUUUUAUGUCUCUUAUAAUAUUAUUUUUAUGGGAUAAUUGUCUAUAUAUUUUUCAAAAUUUUGAAAAUAUCUCAUUUAACUCUAUUUUUUUUUUUCUUUCUAAUAUACUCCUUAUAUGCUCCUCUGUUAUUCCAAAAUAUCUCUACAGUAACCAUAUGUUAAGUUAACUUGGGCUAAACGUAAGUUAAAUAUCUACCAUAGUUAAAAAAAUUAAAAUACCACUUUUGCCCUUAACUUAAGGACAAAUAAGAAAUAUUGGUGAUGAUAGAAAGGUAUAUUUGAAAAGACCAAAAAGCAAAAUAUUUUUUGUGCCCCUAACUUAAGGGCAUAUAAGAAAAAUCGGUAAUGGUAAAAAGGUAUAUUUGAAAGGACAAAAUAGUAAUUUCAUAGAAAUAACAGAGUUCAUUAACAGAUUUUAAAUCUAAGGGUAUAAUUGAAAUAUGUUUUUUUUUUUUGAGAGAGAUAGGUAGCACACUACCCACUUCGUUUAAUUUAUUUAGAAAUAAACUUAGCUGGAAAAUGUGAACCAACUAGGAUUCGAACUUGGGUUUCGGGUACCAACCACCAAGUCCUUUGCCACUUGCUCUAGGAUAUUUUCAAUAUUAGCCUUCUAAGAGAGGUAAAUUAGAAAGUCGGAAACUUUUCAGAAAUAUAUAAACAAUUGCCCCUAUUUUUAUAUAUUGUAUAUUAUUAAUAUGCAU
rnacentral:lncRNA from 1 species